rnacentral:rRNA from 1 species
GUGGGGAAUAUUGGACAAUGGGCGAAAGCCUGAUCCAGCCAUGCCGCGUGUGUGAAGAAGGCCCUCGGGUUGUAAAGCACUUUCAGCGAGGAAGAACGCCUAGUGGUUAAUACCCAUUAGGAAAGACAUCACUCGCAGAAGAAGCACCGGCUAACUCCGUGCCAGCAGCCGCGGUAAUACGGAGGGUGCAAGCGUUAAUCGGAAUUACUGGGCGUAAAGCGCGCGUAGGUGGCUUGAUAAGCCGGUUGUGAAAGCCCCGGGCUCAACCUGGGAACGGCAUCCGGAACUGUCAAGCUAGAGUGCAGGAGAGGAAGGUAGAAUUCCCGGUGUAGCGGUGAAAUGCGUAGAGAUCGGGAGGAAUACCAGUGGCGAAGGCGGCCUUCUGGACUGACACUGACACUGAGGUGCGAAAGCGUGGGUAGCAAACAGG